AAAACACUGCAGCCUUGUGGUCUGUCUUCACAACAUUUAGUGAUCCCAUGGUCAGAUUAGAUGAUAUCUAGUGUUGACCUAACUGUCUAAGGGUGAACCAUAACUCAUUAGUCCCAUCAACUAUAGAGUGCACCCUUAAUUUGAUUCUAUUGUAAUCAGUCCAGCUUUUCUCAAGGCUUUAGCCUAAACCUCCACUGCCUACCUCUAGUCUUGAUUGCUGUUCUUAAUUUUAUUACAGUCAACAUAUGGCACCUGUGCUUUCAAUAUAUGGGACACUCAAGUGUGACCAAGGUUUGAAACUGAUACUUAGUGUUCCCCGUAUUUGAAGUAAUCAAGUUGAGGAUGCUAGGAGUUGGCUGGUAGUCCUGGUGAAUGAACUUGCUGAAAUGUGAAGAUCACUAUGAAGUAAACCUCAUCACAAAGAAGGAUGGAUGCAGAAGUCUGCUUACCUUCCCUCUGGUUCUGUUCUGCCUGGUGUUGUUUAUUGCAGGACUUAAAGCACUGAAACAGUUUGCUAUGAAUCUUGAUUUGCAGAACAUAAGAGUUCUGUAAAUUGAAAUACAGAGUAACUGAAGAAACAUCUGCUGUAAAAAAUAAAGUGGAAUAGUGCUGCAAACCUUU